UUUCUAUAUACAAACAACUAGAAGAUAAUAUUUUUUAAAAUUCUGUUCAUAGCCAAUUCAGAAACAUGAAAUACUUAAGGAUACAUUUAACAAGAAUGUAUAUGUAAGAUGUAUACACUAAAAAUUACAGAUAAUACUGAGAAAAAAUAAAUGCAAAGAUAUAUACCAUGUUCAUACACUGAAAGGCUUACUAUUAUUAGAUGUCCAUUCUCCCCAAACUAAUGUAUAAACACAAUCCCAAUCAUUCCAGCAUGCUUACUAAACAACAGAGUUUGACAAACUAAUUUUAAAGUUUAUAUGAAAAUGCAAAGGACUCAGAAUUGCCAAAACAAUCUGGAAAAAGGAUAAAGCUGCCAGACUCACAGUGAUUUUGAGACACACUAUGAAGACACAGUAAUACUGUGUAGUGUUAACAUAAAAAAUAGGCAUCAUUGUAAGAGAACAGAAAAUCCAGAAGUAGACCUACACAUAUAUGAUCAGUUGACUUUCUAUAAUGGUGCCAAAGCAAUGAAAUUGGAAAAGAAAAGUAUACUAAGAAAAAAAAAAUCUUGAUCCCUCCCUUUUUUUUUUUUGAGAUGAAGUUUUGCUCUUGUUGCCCAGGCUGCAGUGGAAUGGCACAAUCUCGGCUCACUGCAACCUCCGCCUCCUGGGUUCAAGUGAUUUUCCUGCCUCAGCCUCCCAAGUAGCUGGUAUUGCAGGCAUGCUCCACCACACCCAGCUAAUUUUGUAUUUUUAGUAGACACGGGGUUUCUCCAUGUUGGUCAGGCUGGUCUUGAACACCUGACCUCAUGUGAUCAGCCCACCUCAGCCUCCCAAAAUGCUGGGAUUACAGGCGUGAGCCACCGCCCCUGGUUGGUCACGUUUCUUUGUUCAUUUGUUUGUUUUGAGAUGGAGUCUCACUCUGUAGCCCAGGCUGGAGUGCAGUGGUGCAAUCUUGGCUCAACAAAACCUCCGCUGCUAGGGUUCAAGCGAUUCUUCUGCCUGAGCCUCCCGAAUAGCUAGGACUACAGGUGCCUGCCACCACCCCUGGCUAAUUUUUGUAUUUUUAGUGGAGACAGGGCUUCACCAAGUUGGCCAGGCCAGUCUUGAACUCCUGACCUCAAGUAAUCCACCCACUUCAGUCUCCCAAACUAAUAGGAUUACAGGCGUAAGCCACUGCACCUGGCCCUUUGUUGAUUUUGAGUCCAAUGAUGAAAGUGGGGUGUUGAGGUCUCUAGCUAUUAUUGCAUUGUUGAGUCUCUCUCUCUCUCUGGCUCUUUUCCGUUUUUGUUUGUUUUCUUGCCUUCUUUGUGAUGGUAUCUCUCUUUAGCUCAGAUAAUAUUUGCUUUAUAUAUCUGGGUGCUCCAGUGUUAGGUAUGUGUGGAGACAGAUAGAUAGAUAGAUAGAUACACACAUACAUAAUUUUUAUAUUGUCUGACCUUUUUAUCAUUAUAUAAUGACCUUGUCUCUUUUUAAUAAUUUUUAUCUUAAUACCUAUUUUACCUGACAUUAAGUAUAGCUACUCUGCUCUCUUUUUUUGGCUUCUGUUUGUAUGGAAAAAGAGGAGUUCUGGUUUUUCCAGCCCUUUCAGUCUGUGUAUAUCUUUAUAGGUGAAGUGAGUUUCUUGUAGGCAGCAUAUGGUUGGGUCUUAUUUUUCUUUCCAUUCAGCCAAUCUGUGUCUUUUGAUUAGAGACUUUAGUCCAUUUACAUUCAAUGUUAUUAUUGAUACGUAAGGACUUCCUACUGCCAUUUUGUUAUCUGCUUUCUACUUGUUUUAUGGUCUUCCCUUCCUCCCUUCCUUCUUUGCGUUGAAAUGAUUUUCUCUGGUAGUAUAGUUUUAUUUCUUGCUUUUCAUUUUUUGUAUACCUGUUGUAGAUUUUUUGUUUUGAGGUUACAUGGUUACCUCAAAAUAAAAGCCUCAUGAGGCUUGCAAACAACAUCUUAUAAACAACUAUUUCAAACUGAUAACUCGUUACCAAAAAAAAAAAAAGUCAAGAGAAAACGAAAACAGAACUCUACAGUUUAACUCCAAACUCCAUCCCCCUCUUUGACUUUUUGUUGUUUCUACUUUUUUUUUUUUUUGACAGAGUCUCGUUCUGUCGCCCAGCUUGGAGUGCAGUGGCACAAUCAGGGCUCACUGCAAGCUCCGCCUCCCAGGUUCACGCCAUUCUCCUGCCUCAGCCUCCCGAGUAGCUGGGACUACAGGCGCCCGCCACCGCGCCCGGCUAAUUUUUUUGUAUUUUUAGUAGAGACAGAGUUUCACCGUGUUAGCCAGGAUGGUCUCGAUCUGACCUCGUGAUCCACCUGCCUCAGCCUCCCAAAGUGCUGGGAUUACAGGUGUGAGCCACCGUGCCCGGCCAUUGUUUCUAUUUAUCUUUUUAUAUUAUCGCUUAAAAAAUUGUAAUUAUAAUUUUUGAUAGGCUUUGUAGUCUUCCUACUCAAAAUAUGGCUUACACACGGCAAUUAGUGUGUCAAGCCAUUCUGUUCUUGUGUACUUACUGAUACCAGUGAGUUUUGUACCUUUGGAUGAUUUCUUAUUGCUCACUCAUGUCCUUUCCUUUCAGAUUAAAGAGCUCCCCUUAGCAUCUCUUAUAGGUCAGGUCUGAUAUUGACAAAAUCCCUCACAGCUUUUGUUUGUCUGGGAAAGUAUUUCUCCUUCAUGUUUGAAGUAUAUUUUCGCUGGGUAUGAUAUUCUAGGAUAAACGUUUUUUUCCUUCAGCACUUGACAUGCCACUCCCUCCUGGCCUGUAAAGUUUCCACUGAGAUGUCUGCUGCCAGAUGUAUUGGAGCUCCUUCAUAUGUUAUUUGUUCCUUUUCUCUUGCUGCUUUUAGGAUUCUUUCUUUAUCCUCAACCUUUGGGAGUUUGACUAUUAAAUGCCUUGAGGUAAUCUUAUUUGUGUUAAAUCUUCUUGGUGUUCUAGGACCUUCUUGUACCUGAAUAUUGAUACCUUUCUCUGGGUUUGGAAAGUUCUGUUACUAUCUGAGUGAAGUUUCUACCCUCUCUCUCUCUCUCUACCUCCUCUUUAAGACCAAUAACUCUCAGAUUUGCCCUGUGACUUCUAGAUCUUGUAGGUUUGCUUCAUUCUUUUUUCUCCUCUGUGUAUUUACAUACAGUCUGUCCUUAAGCUUACUAAUUCUUUCUUCUGCUUGAUCAAUUUUGCUGUUGAGAGAUUCUGAUGUAUUUUCUAGUUUGUCAACUGAAUUUUUCAGCUCCAGAAUUUGUUUUUUGUGUUUUGUUGGGGUUUGUUUGUUUUGAGACAGAGUUCGCUCUGUUGCCCAGGCUGGAGUGCAAUGGCAUGAUCUUGGCUCACUGCAAUUUCUGUCUCCCAGGUUCAAGCGAUUCUUGUGCUUCAGCGUUCUGCAUACCUGGGAUUACAGACCUGUGUCACCACGCCCGGCUAAUUUUUGUAUUUUUAGUAGAGAUGGGGGUUUGCCAUGUUGGCCAGGUUUGUCUCAAACUCCUUGCCUCAAGUGAUCUACCCACCUAGGCCUCCCAAAAUGCUGGGAUUACAGGUGUGAGUCGCUGUGCCCAGCCUCUGCUUAUUUUUUUAAAAAAAUAUGUCAAUCUCAGCUGGGUGUGGUCACUCAAAUCCCAGCACUUUGGGAGGCUGAGGCAGGCAGAUCACAAGGUCAGGAGUUUGAGACCAGUCCGACCAUCAUGGUGAAACCCUGUCUCUACUAAAAAUACAAAAUUAGCCAGGCAUAGUGGCACAUGCCUGUAAUCCCAGUUACUCAGGAGGCUGAGGCAGGAGAAUUGCCUGAACCUGGGAGAUGGAGGUUGCAGUGAGCUGAGAUCACACCAUUGCACUCCAGCCUGGGCAACAAGAGGGAAACUCUGUCUUUAAAAAAAAAAAAAAAAGUCAAUCUCUUUCUUAAAUUUCUCUGACAGGAUUCUAAAUUCCUUCUCUGUGUUAUUUUGAAAUUCUCUGGGCUUCCUCAAAACAGCUAUUUUCAAUUGUCUGAGAGGUUGCAUAUCUCUGUCACUAUGAGAUUGGUCAUUGGUGCCUUUAGUUUGGUGAAGUCAUGUUUUCCUGCAUGUUUUUUUUGUUUGUUUGUUUUUUGAGACAGUUUCAUUCUUGUCACCCAGGCUUGAGUGCAAUGGCAUGAUCUCGGCUCACUGCAACCUCCACC
rnacentral:lncRNA from 10 species